rnacentral:rRNA from 1 species
GGGUUGUGAGGUUAAGCGACUAAGCGUACACGGUGGAUGCCCUGGCAGUCAGAGGCGAUGAAGGACGUGCUAAUCUGCGAAAAGCGUCGGUAAGGUGAUAUGAACCGUUAUAACCGGCGAUGUCCGAAUGGGGAAACCCAGUGCAAUUCGUUGCACUAUCGUUAACUGAAUACAUAGGUUAACGAGGCGAACCGGGGGAACUGAAACAUCUAAGUACCCCGAGGAAAAGAAAUCAACCGAGAUUCCCCCAGUAGCGGCGAGCGAACGGGGAGCAGCCCAGAGUCUGAAUCAGCUUGUGUGUUAGUGGAACGGUCUGGAAAGUCCGACGGUACAGGGUGAUAGUCCCGUACACCAAAAUGCACAGGUUGUGAACUCGAAGAGUAGGGCGGGACACGUGGUAUCCUGUCUGAAUAUGGGGGGACCAUCCUCCAAGGCUAAAUACUCCUGACUGACCGAUAGUGAACCAGUACCGUGAGGGAAAGGCGAAAAGAACCCCGGCGAGGGAGUGAAAAGAACCUGAAACCGUGUACGUACAAGCAGUGGGAGCACCUUCGGGUGUGACUGCGUACCUUUGUAUAAUGGGUCAGCGACUUAUAUUCUGUAGCAAGGUUAACCGUAUAGGGAGCCGCAGGGAAACCGAGUCUUAACUGGGCGUUAAGUUGCAGGGUAUAGACCCGAAACCCGGUGAUCUAGCCAUGGGCAGGUUGAAGGUUGGGUAACACUAACUGGAGGACCGAACCGACUAAUGUUGAAAAAUUAGCGGAUGACUUGUGGCUGGGGGUGAAAGGCCAAUCAAACCGGGAGAUAGCUGGUUCUCCCCGAAAGCUAUUUAGGUAGCGCCUCGUGAAUUCAUCUUCGGGGGUAGAGCACUGUUUCGGCUAGGGGGUCAUCCCGACUUACCAACCCGAUGCAAACUACGAAUACCGAAGAAUGUUAUCACGGGAGACACACGGCGGGUGCUAACGUCCGUCGUGAAGAGGGAAACAACCCAGACCGCCAGCUAAGGUCCCAAAGUCAUGGUUAAGUGGGAAACGAUGUGGGAAGGCACAGACAGCCAGGAUGUUGGCUUAGAAGCAGCCAUCAUUUAAAGAAAGCGUAAUAGCUCACUGGUCGAGUCGGCCUGCGCGGAAGAUGUAACGGGGCUAAACCAUGCACCGAAGCUGCGGCAGCGACACUAUGUGUUGUUGGGUAGGGGAGCGUUCUGUAAGCCUGCGAAGGUGUGCUGUGAGGCAUGCUGGAGGUAUCAGAAGUGCGAAUGCUGACAUAAGUAACGAUAAAGCGGGUGAAAAGCCCGCUCGCCGGAAGACCAAGGGUUCCUGUCCAACGUUAAUCGGGGCAGGGUGAGUCGACCCCUAAGGCGAGGCCGAAAGGCGUAGUCGAUGGGAAACAGGUUAAUAUUCCUGUACUUGGUGUUACUGCGAAGGGGGGACGGAGAAGGCUAUGUUAGCCGGGCGACGGUUGUCCCGGUUUAAGCAUGUAGGCUGAUUGUCCAGGCAAAUCCGGAUAAUCAAGGCUGAGGUGUGAUGACGAGGCACUACGGUGCUGAAGUAACAAAUGCCCUGCUUCCAGGAAAAGCCUCUAAGCAUCAGGUAACAUCAAAUCGUACCCCAAACCGACACAGGUGGUCAGGUAGAGAAUACCAAGGCGCUUGAGAGAACUCGGGUGAAGGAACUAGGCAAAAUGGUGCCGUAACUUCGGGAGAAGGCACGCUGGUGUGUAGGUGAAGUCCCUGCGGAUGGAGCUGAGACCAGUCGAAGAUACCAGCUGGCUGCAACUGUUUAUUAAAAACACAGCACUGUGCAAACACGAAAGUGGACGUAUACGGUGUGACGCCUGCCCGGUGCCGGAAGGUUAAUUGAUGGGGUUAUCCGUAAGGAGAAGCUCUUGAUCGAAGCCCCGGUAAACGGCGGCCGUAACUAUAACGGUCCUAAGGUAGCGAAAUUCCUUGUCGGGUAAGUUCCGACCUGCACGAAUGGCGUAAUGAUGGCGGGCUGUCUCCACCCGAGACUCAGUGAAAUUGAACUCGCUGUGAAGAUGCAGUGUACCCGCGGCAAGACGGAAAGACCCCGUGAACCUUUACUAUAGCUUGACACUGAACAUUGAGCCUUGAUGUGUAGGAUAGGUGGGAGGCUUUGAAGCGUGGACGCCAGUCUGCGUGGAGCCAACCUUGAAAUACCACCCUUUAAUGUUUGAUGUUCUAACGUUGGCCCCUUACCGGGGUUGCGGACAGUGUCUGGUGGGUAGUUUGACUGGGGCGGUCUCCUCCCAAAGCGUAACGGAGGAGCACGAAGGUUAGCUAAUCCUGGUCGGACAUCAGGAGGUUAGUGCAAUGGCAUAAGCUAGCUUGACUGCGAGCGUGACGGCGCGAGCAGGUGCGAAAGCAGGUCAUAGUGAUCCGGUGGUUCUGAAUGGAAGGGCCAUCGCUCAACGGAUAAAAGGUACUCCGGGGAUAACAGGCUGAUACCGCCCAAGAGUUCAUAUCGACGGCGGUGUUUGGCACCUCGAUGUCGGCUCAUCACAUCCUGGGGCUGAAGUAGGUCCCAAGGGUAUGGCUGUUCGCCAUUUAAAGUGGUACGCGAGCUGGGUUUAGAACGUCGUGAGACAGUUCGGUCCCUAUCUGCCGUGGGCGCUGGAGAAUUGAGGGGGGCUGCUCCUAGUACGAGAGGACCGGAGUGGACGCAUCACUGGUGUUCGGGUUGUCAUGCCAAUGGCACUGCCCGGUAGCUAAAUGCGGAAGAGAUAAGUGCUGAAAGCAUCUAAGCACGAAACUUGCCCCGAGAUGAGUUCUCCCUGAGACUUUAAGUCUCCUGAAGGAACGUUGAAGACGACGACGUUGAUAGGCCGGGUGUGUAAGCGCAGCGAUGCGUUGAGCUAACCGGUACUAAUGAACCGUGAGGCUUAACCUUACAACGCCGAAG